UCCUCCCUCCACCCCCCCUCCCAAUUUUCUUUUUCCUUUCAUUCACUCACAACCCACGCGAAACCCUUCCAAAAUGCAAACCAUCCGAUUUGUCUUCUUCUUCUUCUUCGUCUCUCUGUUUUUUCAAUUCGAGAAAAAGGAAAUUGGGUGGAUCCACUUUUCUCUUUCCUCUUCCUAAAGGAAGUCAUGCCUUUGAUUUUGAUCAAAUCUGUGGUGGAUGGUGGAGAGAACAUAACGAAGGAGCAAUUGAAAGACAAUUUGAAAAAUACUAUAUAAUGGCAACAAGUGUGUGUGCACUUUUCUUUUGUUUUGUUUUGUUUUUUUUUUUUUGGGGGGGGGGGGGGGGGGGGGGGGGAGGGGUGGAAUUUGCAAGUUUUGGUUUGUAUUUUAUAGUUUAAAAGUAAGUUCUCACUCUUUUUGAUAUACCAAUAAAAGUUGUUUGGGUCUAACAAAAUUUUAAUUUUGCUAUGUAACCCUUAUGAGUUUUGGUAAUUUGUUGAUUACCUUGGUUUUAGAGUUAAAUUAUCAUCCAAUUCCUCUUUUGUGACUUAUUAUUAUGGAUUUGUGAAAGCAAUUAAGAAUUUAUUUUGUGCAUGGA